rnacentral:rRNA from 1 species
CCUACGGGAGGCAGCAGUGAGGAAUAUUGGUCAAUGGACGAGAGUCUGAACCAGCUAAGUAGCGUGAAGGAUGACUGCCCUAUGGGUUGUAAACUUCUUUUAUAUGGGAAUAAAAUGUUCCACGUGUGGGAUUUUGUAUGUACCAUAUGAAUAAGGAUCGGCUAACUCCUUGCCAGCAGCCGCGGUAAUACGGAGGAUCCGAGCGUUAUCCGGAUUUAUUGGGUUUAAAGGGAGCGUAGGUGGAUUGUUAAGUCAGUUGUGAAAGUUUGUGGCUCAACCGUAAAAUUGCAGUUGAAACUGGCAGUCUUGAGUACAGUAGAGGUGGGCGGAAUUCGUGGUGUAGCGGUGAAAUGCUUAGAUAUCACGAAGAACUCCGAUUGCGAAGGCAGUUCACUGGACUGCAACUGACACUGAGGCUCGAAAGUGUGGGUAUCAAACAGGAUUAGAUACCCGGGUAGUC